AAAUGAUAAAGGCAAACCUAUUGAAAGAUAGGGACGCAAAGCCACGGGUCUAAGGUUCCGCAGGAAUGAAGAUAGCCGGGUUACCGAA
rfam:Aneurinibacillus migulanus strain DSM 2895 super7, whole genome shotgun sequence.